UACGUAGGGGGCAAGCGUUGUCCGGAUUUAUUGGGCGUAAAGAGCGUGUAGGCGGUCCGGUAAGUCAGCUGUGAAAGUCAAGGGCUCAACCCUUGAAUGCCGGUUGAUACUGUCGGGCUAGAGUCCGGAAGAGGCGAGUGGAAUUCCCGGUGUAGCGGUGAAAUGCGCAGAUAUCGGGAGGAACACCAAUGGCGAAGGCAGCUCGCUGGGACGGUACUGACGCUGAGACGCGAAAGCGUGGGGAGCAAACAGG
rnacentral:rRNA from 1 species